UUCCGUAGAGCUAGCCUCAUCUCGAAUAAAUCUUUCGCCUUUUACUAGAGAUUACCGUGGAAUCGACUCACUGACUGCAGCUUCAACCAAUUUCUGAAUCCUCCCUACAUGCUCGU
rnacentral:snRNA from 1 species